CCAGAGAUUCUGCGCAGCAGAUUAAACAGUCAUUAGAUUGAAUCAGCAACCAACAGAAUGGGAAAAAAUUUUUGCAAUCUACCCAUCUGACAAAGGGCUAAUAGCCAGAAUCUACAAAGAACUAAAACAGAUUUACAAGAA